AUAUGGAAAACUGGUGCCUUUAUCGUCGUUUCUUGAAAAGGUGCACUUCCAAUGGAAAUUGACAACGUUAUCAUAUUAGAAAGAACAGGAAGUAGCCAAUGACGGAGCGUCAUUAGAUUUACGAUAGCACGCGCGCUCCCGUCUACACAAUGUGUUUAACUCUUCAUUAGUCUGCUCCAUUUGUCGCGUCAAGCUAAUAAACUAUUGAACGAAUCAAA